rnacentral:rRNA from 1 species
UACGUAGGGGGCAAGCGUUGUCCGGAUUUAUUGGGCGUAAAGAGCGUGUAGGCGGCUAGGUAGGUCCGCUGUGAAAACUCGAGGCUCAACCUCGAGACGUCGGUGGAAACCAUCUGGCUAGAGUCCGGAAGAGGAGAGUGGAAUUCCCGGUGUAGCGGUGAAAUGCGCAGAUAUCGGGAAGAACACCCGUGGCGAAAGCGGCUCUCUGGGACGGUACUGACGCUGAGACGCGAAAGCGUGGGGAGCGAACAGG